rnacentral:rRNA from 1 species
AUUGAACGCUGGCGGCAGGCCUAACACAUGCAAGUCGAACGAGCGGCGGACGGGUGAGUAAUGUCUGGGUAACUGCCUGAUGGAGGGGGAUAACUACUGGAAACGGUAGCUAAUACCGCAUACCAUCAGAUGUGCCCAGAUGGGCGUAGCUGGUUGGUGGGGUAAAGGCUCACCAAGGCGACGCUCCCUAGCUGGUCUGAGAGGAUGACCAGCCACACUGGGGCUGAGACACGGACCAGACUCCUACGGUAGGAAGCAGUGGGGAAUAUUGCACAAUGGGCGCAAGGCUGAUGCAGCCAUGCCGCGUGUAUGAAGAAGGCAUUAGGGUUGUAAAGUACUUUCAGCGGGGAGGCGUUACCCGCAGAAGAAGCACCGGCUAACUCCGUGCCAGCAGCCGCGGUAAUUC